UCUAGUUUGUUGUAUACAAGUUUUUAUUUAGGGACGAAGAUGGAGGCAUUCCUGCUAUUCAUGUCACAGAAAUACUCAAUGCCUGCCAGCUGGAUAUAAACCAAGCAUUAGCUGCAGGGAUUUUAGCGUAUAAUGAUGAGCCGAAGAGUGGCACAAUGUCACAAGAAUCCAAAAGUCGAGUUCCUUCAGUUUUUAAAAAUUAAAAAGAAAAACACGCCGAAUUUUCAUUUUUAACCUUUAUCCCUUUGGAUGUACGAAAUCCGAGUAAAAGUUUAUUGUAAAACAAA